GAUGAACGCUGGCGGCGUGCCUAAUACAUGCAAGUCGAGCGAACAGACGAGGAGCUUGCUCCUCUGACGUUAGCGGCGGACGGGUGAGUAACACGUGGAUAACCUACCUAUAAGACUGGGAUAACUUCGGGAAACCGGAGCUAAUACCGGAUAAUAUAUUGAACCGCAUGGUUCAAUAGUGAAAGACGGUUUUGCUGUCACUUAUAGAUGGAUCCGCGCUGCAUUAGCUAGUUGGUAAGGUAACGGCUUACCAAGGCAACGAUGCGUAGCCGACCUGAGAGGGUGAUCGGCCACACUGGAACUGAGACACGGUCCAGACUCCUACGGGAGGCAGCAGUAGGGAAUCUUCCGCAAUGGGCGAAAGCCUGACGGAGCAACGCCGCGUGAGUGAUGAAGGUCUUCGGAUCGUAAAACUCUGUUAUUAGAGAAGAACAAAUGUGUAAGUAACUGUGCACGUCUUGACGGUACCUAAUCAGAAAGCCACGGCUAACUACGUG
rnacentral:rRNA from 1 species